rnacentral:rRNA from 1 species
UUUCCAGACUCCUACGGGAGGCAGCAGUGAGGAAUAUUGGUCAAUGGGCGGGAGCCUGAACCAGCCAAGCCGCGUGAGGGAAGAAGGCUUUCGGGUUGUAAACUUCUUUUGACAGGGAAGAGUAGAAGACGGUACCUGUCGAAUAAGCUCCGGCUAACUACGUGCCAGCAGCCGCGGCAAUACGUAGGGAGCGAGCGUUAUCCGGAAUUAUUGGGUGUAAAGGGUGCGUAGACGGGUAAAUAAGUUAGUUGUGAAAUCCCUCGGCUCAACUGAGGAACUGCAACUAAAACUGUAUAUCUUGAGUGCGGGAGAGGAAAGUGGAAUUCCUAGUGUAGCGGUGAAAUGCGUAGAUAUUAGGAGGAACACCAGUGGCGAAGGCGACUUUCUGGACCGUAACUGACGUUGAGGCACGAAAGUGUGGGGAGCAAACAGGAUUAGAUACCCCCGUA